rnacentral:rRNA from 1 species
GACGAACGCUGGCGGCGUGCCUAACACAUGCGAGUCGAGCGGGGAUUUAAGUGGAAGUUCUUCGGAAUGGAGAUUUAAAUUCUAGCGGCGGACGGGUGAGUAACGCGUGAACAAUCUGUCCCGGACAGGGGGAUAACACUUGGAAACAGGUGCUAAUACCGCAUAAGACCACGGCCUCGCAUGGGGCUGAGGUAAAAGGAGCAAUCCGGUUCGGGGUGAGUUCGCGUCCGAUUAGCUAGUUGGUGAGGUAACGGCCCACCAAGGCGACGAUCGGUAGCCGGCCUGAGAGGGUGAACGGCCACAUUGGAACUGAGAGACGGUCCAAACUCCUACGGGAGGCAGCAGUGGGGAAUAUUGGGCAAUGGGCGAAAGCCUGACCCAGCAACGCCGCGUGAGGGAAGAAGGUUUUCGGAUUGUAAACCUCUGUCCUAUGGGACGAAGGAAGUGACGGUACCAUAGGAGGAAGCCCCGGCUAACUACGUG